CAACUGUGCGAAGCAUGGCGAAUUGCAGGGCUUCAUGAAACCGCUACUUGUCGAACGCAUAUUGCGGCCCUGGCUCACGGGUCAGGGCCACAUCCACCUGAGGGUCGAAGAGUCUUGUUGCUUCUCGGAGCGAUUGUCCACUGGCCGGCGUAAAGUCGGGCUUUGGACUGAAUGAUAGUUUUUUCAAGGCUCUGGAUGAUCUCUCAGUUUCAGUGCUUGGGAACUGCUCCUCUUGGUUGCCCGUUGGUAACUGCAGAGUUGGUCUGAUUCAUUUCACCCAACCUGCAUUGCCACUGGGCCUGGAGCUCAUUUCCCAUGCAUUCGAGCUGGAGUAAAGUCUGGGGCCUCAACUCUCUUUUUGACCUCAGGUUGGGUGAGGUUACCCGCCGAAUUUAA
rnacentral:misc_RNA from 1 species